rnacentral:rRNA from 1 species
GAGUUUGAUCAUGGCUCAGGAUGAACGCUGGCGGCGUGCUUAACACAUGCAAGUCGAACGGGGUCACCAUUUUGAAGCGAUUAGCUUGCUAAGAGUGGAAAUGUUGGCGGCUUAGUGGCGGACGGUGAGUAACGCGUGGGUAACCUGCCAUAUACAGGGGGAUAACACUUAGAAAUAGGUGCUAAUACCGCAUAAGCGCACGGAGCUGCAUGGCUCAGUGUGAAAAACUCCGGUGGUAUAUGAUCGGACCCGCGUCUGUA